rnacentral:hammerhead_ribozyme from 1 species
AUCCAUAUGACGAGUCACAAAUAAGACGAAACGCUCGUUAUGGAU